GCUGUUUCUGUAAGUGCAAGAAUGCUGUACAAGAAUUUGUUUUGGCUCUCUUUCUCUCUCAACAAGAUUUUCUUUUUCUCGCUCCUAAAUCUUGAACUCCCUCCUUUUUUCCCCCCACCUCUCUCUCUCCAUCUCUCUCUAAAAUGUGGGCUUUUCAAGUGCUCGAGGAAAAGGAUCUUUUUAGGAUAGAAGGAAAACUUGAAAAGUGCAUUUUUAUUAUUUUAUCGUGAUCUAAUUUUCAUUUUAUUUUGAAGAAAUUUAGUGGGUAUUUCGCGGAUGUGGACUGGCGGAGGAAUGGGUAGUUGAUGAUGCAGCCCAAAGUUCGUGGUCAGGGAGGGGAAUGAAGAAGCCAAUAGGAGAUGGUGGAGUUGGCGCGUUGGAUAGCCCACGUUUACGUUUGAUUUUGAUUUAUGUGCAUUUGAGCCGAAGUUUGAAGACUUUAUUUAUUUUAUUUUCAGUAUUGUUAUUUUAGAACCCAAUAGUUUAGCUUAUUGGGUUAUUUUGUUUGGCGGUUUUAUUUAAGUUAUUUGCUUAUUAGACUAGAUUUAGUUUUUGUCUAUAUAUAGAGCUUUAUCAGUGUUGGCCGAAAUAGAACAUUAUUUUUAUCAAAGCUGUGAGUUUUAUUC